rnacentral:tRNA from 1 species
GCAGUGGUGGUUCAGUGGUACAAUUCUUGCUUCCAAUGCUGGAGACCUGGGUUCUAUUCCUGGCCAAUGCA